AUUGAACGCUAGCGGCAUGCUUAACACAUGCAAGUCGAACGGUAACAGGUCUAGCUUGCUAGAUGCUGACGAGUGGCGGACGGGUGAGUAACGCGUAGGAAUCUACCUUGUAGUGGGGGAUAACCUGGGGAAACCCAGGCUAAUACCGCAUGAGCCCUAAGGGGGAAAGCAUGGGACCGAAAGGCCAUGUGCUAUGAGAUGAGCCUGCGUCGGAUUAGCUAGUUGGUGGGGUAAAGGCCUACCAAGGCAAAGACGCGUAGCUGGUCUGAGAGGAUGAUCAGCCAAACUGGGACUGAGACCCGGCCCAGACUCCUACGGGAGGCAGCAGUGGGGAAUAUUGGACAAUGGGGGCAACCCUGAUCCAGCCACGCCGCGUGAGUGAUGAAGGCCUUCGGGUCGUAAAGCUCUGUGGGGAGGGACGAACGUCCGGCAUGACCUGUCGGGGUGACGGUACCUCCUUAGCAAGCACCGGCUAACUUCGUGCCAGCAGCCGCCGUAAAAC
rnacentral:rRNA from 1 species